AAAGAAGCAAUCUGAUAGGUUGCUAUGGGCAACUGAGCAACUUUUCCUCUGCACAGGUUUUGAUGAAUCUCCCCCUAUAUGCAGUAAUGAAAGCAAAAAAAGGGCCCAAGAACAAAAAGGCAAAAUGAGACAGAAAAAGAGAAGACAGAGUGUAAGAACAAGAACAGAGCAGAACAAGAAGAACAGAGCAAACAGUCUAGAAAGAAAUCAAAGAAAUCGUACAUAGGAAAAUCAGAUACAUUUAUAAAACGUUUUAAACACUUUGAGGUUUAUUUAAUUUGUUUCAAUACCUACAUGCCAAUGGCAUCGUCUACCGAGAUCUACAGCCAGAUAAUGUCUGAAUAAUUACAGCUGGACAUCACAGAAAAUCACAGAGUUUGGCUAGAAGAACUGUUGCUGGGAUGAAUUGGUUUGCAUUUGGAGUCAUCCUGUUACCAAAUUACAUGCCCACCUUGGGAACAUAAUAUUAGAACUCAAGACUUUGGUUAUUGAGUAUGUUCCACAGUUUGCAACAUCUCUAUACCCUGACACAGUGGAUAUCAUCAAAAGACUGCUGUGUGAAGUUCAGUAUAAAUGUGACAGAAAACACCAGUAAAAAUCCAAACAAUUUAUUGCAUUGCAUUUGAAGAAAACCUGGGAACCUUUUAAGAAAGCAAAAUCCAAAUAAAACAAUUUCUGUAUCAACA